CACGUAGGCGGACUGGAAAGUUGGAGGUAAAAUCCCAGGGCUCAACCUUGGAACUGCCUUCAAAACUAUCAGUCUGGAGUUCGAGAGAGGUGAGUGGAAUUCCGAGUGUAGAGGUGAAAUUCGUAGAUAUUCGGAGGAACACCAGUGGCGAAGGCGGCUCACUGGCUCGAUACUGACGCUGAGGUGCGAAAGUGUGGGGAGCAAACA
rnacentral:rRNA from 1 species